AGUGAACGCUGGCGGUAGGCCUAACACAUGCAAGUCGAACGGCAGCACAGUAAGAGCUUGCUCUUACGGGUGGCGAGUGGCGGACGGGUGAGGAAUACAUCGGAAUCUACUUUUUCGUGGGGGAUAACGUAGGGAAACUUACGCUAAUACCGCAUACGACCUACGGGUGAAAGCAUGGGAUCUUCUGACCUUGCGCGAUUGAAUGAGCCGAUGUCGGAUUAGCUAGUUGGCGGGGUAAAGGCCCACCAAGGCGACGAUCCGUAGCUGGUAUGAGAGGAUGAUCAGCCGCACUGGAACUGAGACACGGUCCAGAGUCCUACGGGAGGCGGCAGGGGGGAAUAUUGGGCAAGGGGCGCAAGCCUGAUCCAGACAUACCGCGGGGGUGAAGAAGGCCUUCGGGUGGUAAAGCCCUUUUGUUGGGAAAGAAAAGCAGCAGGUUAAUACCCCGCUGUUCUGACGGUACCCAAAGAAUAAGCACCGGCUAACUUCGUG
rnacentral:rRNA from 1 species